rnacentral:rRNA from 1 species
UGCCAGCAGCCGCGGUAAUACGGAGGGUGCAAGCGUUAAUCGGAAUUACUGGGCGUAAAGCGCGCGUAGGUGGUCUGUUAAGUCGGAUGUGAAAUCCCCGGGCUCAACCUGGGAACUGCAUCCAAAACUGAUUCACUAGAGUACGAUAGAGGGAGGUAGAAUUCACAGUGUAGCGGUGGAAUGCGUAGAUAUUGUAAAGAAUACCAAUGGCGAAGGCAGCCUCCUGGAUCUGUACUGACACUGAGGUGCGAAAGCGUGGGUAGCGAACAGGAUUAGAUA